rnacentral:rRNA from 1 species
AAUGAACGUUGGCGGCGUGGAUUAGGCAUGCAAGUCGAGCGAGAACCCCGCAAGGGGGGACAGCGGCGAAAGGGACAGUAAUGUGUAGAUUAUCUGCCCUCAGGUCCGGGAUAGCUGCGGGAAACUGCAGGUAAUACCGGAUAACAUCUCCGGAUCAAAGGUGUGAUUCCGCCUGAGGAUGUGUCUGCAUCCUAUUAGCUAGUUGGUGGGGUAAUGGCCUACCAAGGCAUUGAUGGGUAGCAGGUGUGAGAGCACGACCUGCGUCAUUGGGACUGAGACACUGCCCAGACACCUACGGGUGGCUGCAGUCGAGAAUCUUCGGCAAUGGGCGCAAGCCUGACCGAGCGACGCCGCGUGUGGGAUGAAGGCCUUCGGGUUGUAAACCACUGUCAGAGGGGAUGAAAUGCAGGUGUGUUCUCCCAUCUGUUUGACAUAGCCUCAGAGGAAGAACGGGCUAAGUUCGUG